UAUAGAGGAAAAUAGAGUGCAUGAUUUCUAGAUGCGGGGUCCUUCAAACUUGCCACCACAACCAUCUCGGGAUGAGGACAAGAUUCUCAUCUGUCUUGUAGGAGAUACUUAAGUAUAUAAACUGUAUGACCUUACUGGUAGGAGGAUACGAUUGAUUAGCUCACUAGCAAACCAAAUUGUUAACUGAUGUGCAGGCAAUGGAAAGAAGAAAUUGCAGUUGAAGGCAGAAUUCCUAAUGGUAUCAUUGGUGUGUUAGUUCUAUGGUAUUUCCAUGGAUUAGUAACUCUAGAAGGAUGAGAAGAGCCCGUGUGGACAUGGCUGCACUACAGGACUGCUACAGCUUUUUUCUAAAGGAGGAGGAAUAGUGUUCGAGAAUUGUUUGCAGCAGGUGGAGGAAAGUUUACGGGUAAGUUUCUCCACAUACUUAUGUGUGCAUAAUUUUUUCAUUCAAUAAUUUAUUGUUGGCAAUAUUUCAUACUUGCAAUGGUGGUAUCUAUGGUCAAAAGGCCAGGAAGCUAAUGCUAGGAGAGUAGUGCGUAAUGCUGUCAAGAAUUUAAUCCCGCAAAUGAUAUACGAAGCACGCAUUCAAGAUGUCAUCACUUACCACAAAAAGGUGCUUCGAAGGUAAAUUUAUAGGCCUGAGGCUUGCCAAUAAUGGUUGAGGUGGAUGAGUACAUACAGAUUAUGUUGUGGUGGUGCCAUAGAUGCCUAGAUGCACAUGACAAGAUUGUAGAAUUAAAGUACUGCAACGAAGAAAAGAAAGAAGCAUCUCUUGCUGCUAGGGAAUGUAGACUUCCAGAUGGGUGGGAUUGUGCACCGUCAAGGCAGUUCCUCCAUGGCUCGUUUCCACAAUCUGGAGAAGAAGGAACAGAAGGUUGUGUCUGACGUAGAAACUUACUUAGUAGCGAGGAUGGGUGAUCAGGAAGGUACACUGUGCAAUCCACGCGCAGAAGAAAACUUAGAGGCAUUUAAUGAGGCUUCUAUUGAGCUUAAUGGUCUAGAGUUUAACAUGAUGAAAGAACCAAUUGAUGCGGCUGCUACCUAUAAGGCUGGAAAGAGUAAGAAACAUGGCUGCUUCAUGAUGGGCAAUGGCUACAUUAGCACACUAACAACUCUCUCCCAGGUCAGAGCACAGUGUUGGGUUAUUGGACAAUGAACGUCCUGCAAGACGACUAUGAACAGUAAGUGAUAGGGUGAAUGAUAUGGAGGCAAAGCUACAACAGGAAAUUGAGGCAAGCCAACUCAGGGUGACUGAUCUUAGGCAAAACUGCAGCAAGAAAUCGAGGCAAGGCAACAGAUGGGACAAAUACUGCAGGUUAGUUGUAUGCUUUUGAAUGAUUUUGGUUAGAUCACCAAUGCAUGAGUGUGAGCAUGGAACUGCCAGCAAAAAAAUAUCGAUAUUGUCCACUUGAAAGAUUCUCUAAUUCUUGUAGGUAAAAUUUUCAUGAAGAAUUUAGUCAUUAGAAUAUUGCUUUCAAGCAAGAAGUAUUACUAAGGUAACAUAUGACAAUCUAUAAAUUUAUAGUCUAUUAAUUCUCGGCUUAAUGGCAUGUCUCCAACAGAGGGGUCACUGGAUGUAGCAUCUAAUGAGGUUAGAAAACUUAUCGUUGUUUGAUAGGACUUGGAAUCCAUUUUGACAUUAUUUGAUCUCAUCUUCUCUGAAAACAAAUUACUGAGAACAACUGGAUCAACGGCAGCAUACACUGCUAUAGAUGGUCAGGCUAGAGAUGCUCACAUGUUGGCAGCCCAUUCCUGGAUCAUGUAUAUGAACCAGUCCAAAUUGACCACUUUAGUCACAAAAAAAAAAUGUAAGUCACUGCUACACAUUCUCCAUCAUUUUUCAUUUUGUCUACAUUUCAUCCUUUCACAGUUAUAGAUAUAGCCAACUCAACAAUGUUAAAAUUACAUUUUUCUUAAUUAGAUAUUAGUUAAAUGCAUAUCAACUAAUAUUGUUUCCAGCAUCUGAUUAUACUAUUCCCAAAAGACAUACAGCAUGACUACAAAAAAUUAUUUGCAAGCUCCAUUAAUCAACAUGGGUAAUUUCUAGUACUAAACCUUUUUUUAAAUGGCUUUGCAACUGGGCACUGAAAGACAGGACAUGGAUUGCUAGUUUAUGAACCUCUCGACGUCAACUCAUGUAUACAUACUCCAUGUUCAGCUAACUUGUUAAACUUCUUUGUGAAACUACUAUUUUGUUGAACUACUUAAAACUCUUAGAUGUG